UACGUAGGGGGCAAGCGUUGUCCGGAUUUAUUGGGCGUAAAGAGCGUGUAGGCGGCCUGAAAGGUCAGCUGUGAAAACUCGAGGCUCAACCUCGAGACGUCGGUUGAAACCAUCAGACUAGAGUCCGGAAGAGGAGAGUGGAAUUCCUGGUGUAGCGGUGAAAUGCGCAGAUAUCAGGAAGAACACCCGUGGCUAAGGCGGCUCUCUAGUACGGUACUGACGCUGAGACGCGAAAGCGUGGGGAGCGAACAGG
rnacentral:rRNA from 1 species